rnacentral:rRNA from 1 species
CCUACGGGGGGCAGCAGUGGGGAAUAUUGGACAAUGGGCGCAAGCCUGAUCCAGCCAUGCCGCGUGUGUGAAGAAGGCCCUCGGGUUGUAAAGCACUUUAAGCGAGGAGGAAGGUCAUCAUACUAAUACUAUGGUGAAUUGACGUUACUCGCAGAAUAAGCACCGGCUAACUCUGUGCCAGCAGCCGCGGUAAUACAGAGGGUGCAAGCGUUAAUCGGAAUUACUGGGCGUAAAGCGCGCGUAGGCGGUUUGUUAAGUCGGAUGUGAAAUCCCUG